CUGCAAUUUGUAUUUGUGUUUUUACAGACGGAAUUCGGCUGCUUUGCUCAGCUCUAAGGAUGACAUUUAGCACACGAAUGGCCACCGUGCGCUCCGUUACGCACAGGAUGGAGACGUCGCACAACGCCAAGCAACGUGACCCACAGGAGUACCAGGGAAGCAUUUGCUUCUCCUGAUGCUGCUAAGGCUGCGGCAAGAGCAUGACACACUCCGCUGCUGUGUACUGCUCGUUGGUCAUCUCCAUCUCUCACUACUCGUUUCUCUUAUGCGCAUUUCUCAUGCAGUCCGCCUGCAAGCGAAUUGAAACUAUACAAUAUAAAACAUCUGCAGUCGCCGUUUUGGCUCGGUUUCGUCCUGCAAGCUGGUGACACAAAUGCUUCAGUCAAGCAAGGUGCAGGUUUGGAGAUCACUGCUCAGCCGGUCCCUCUCUAAACCAGUCUCUGUGUUCGGUGCCAUCAGGACUUCAUCAGUGCAGCUGACUGUGAGGAGACAGGGGAUUGAAUAUGCUGUGAAUGAGGAGCAGGCAUCUUCUGUGACACAUCUGUGUUAACACCCUCUGCCAAGCAGCAUUCUGCCAUAGUGUUCCUCAACAUCUUGUGGCGUCGAGCUAAUGCUUUUUGUUGCAAGUUUUGGGUCUGGUGCAUUUCCCAAAGGUCCUGGUUGGUGCCUCCCUUCGCUCCUUUCUGCGUUCUCCCACCACACAGCCCCAGAGGCUGUACGUGGCUCACCACGUCAGAAUCAAAUGUUGCCAAAAAGGAUGCUGGACGGAUGCAGCUUCAAACAAAACAGCGGACACCUGUUCACAAAGCAAAAGCGGAAACUGUGGAGUGCAGGCAGAAGUGCAAUCACACAGAAACACACACACCACAUGUGCCAGGCCUGUGCUUGAACCUGUAGGACCACAGGUCAGCAGAGACACACACAACGUCCUGCUCUCUGAGCAACGCUGGUCACCCACUGGCUGAGACAGGUCUCAUCCCUGCAGAGUUACAGAGGCAGUCAGAAAUGCCACUAUCAAGAUGAAAAGCAAUGAUUAUGUUCUCACCAUCAGACAAGAUUCCAACAAAGCACACAUGCUGUCUGUAGCCUGUUUCUCGGAACAUGUUUAGCCUCUGCCACAUAUGGAAAAUACCACCUCUUACAUCUGCAAGAAAAGUUAGUUAGACACACAUGAUCAGUGUCUGAUUACCAGUAUCUAGUCUGCCUGCUUUGUGGAUGUGGACAGGUAAGUUGGAGCUGCUUCUAAGUUUAGAGGUUGAACCAAUUUAAAAACUGUCUGAAGUGUAAAAUGCAGCUACUGAGCAAUAUUUUCCAAAAUUUGUUUCAUUAGAUAUAAAUUACUAUAUUUGAGACCAAUUUAAGGUCCGUGAUUGGAUGGGACCUCUAGAGCGCCUUCUAUUCAGUAAUCAGUAAUUUAUAUUCAGGUAUUUUACUGGAAAAUUGUUUGACAAGAGUCUGUUGCCUGUUGAACUACUUUAAUCUUUUCUGUGAGGCUUAUGUUCACAUACAUCUUAUUCAAUCUUUUUCAUAAAAUAAUGAGUUGAUUUAUUAUAAAACAUGAAAGGAAAAUGCCAAAUGCGAUGUCCUCAUACAAUAUAAAUGUUGAAUAAAGGUCAGUUAUUUGUUAAAAAGAUGUUUUUUUAUUUUCAGCUUAAUUCUGUUUCCUUAUAUAUUGUUUGUUUGUAAUUGCUGGGAUAAUAGCUGAACCUUACAGUUGGUUUAUUACUACUAACAGGUAUUUCCUACAUAUCCGGAACAUGAUGUGUCCUAUAACUUUGUGUUAUAGCUUGAACGUGAGUCACAUUAGUGCAAUGGGUGACAUGUUCCUUCAUUAUAAUGAUCCACAGUCCCACAUACUGUUCUACAAAUCAAAUAUGUGUUCCUAAAUCUGUGGUGUCAAUUAGGCACUUUGUGUGUGAGCAGCAGGGGUGUUGAAGCAAGUUUCUGGAGCUGAAUGAAACUCUGAACAAUGAUACACAUUCAUAACCAAACACACACACACACACGUUACUCCUGUGUUGUGUGGGGAUCACACCUUCUUUUGUUUCACCCCAGCAGCCAGUAGAGGCGAUGCCCCAGUGCCCCCAGUGUGCUCCACUGCUCUGGCUGAAAUGGGCUCCCUGCUCCCCUCUGGCUCCCCCAUUCUCUUCCAGCAAAACUGUCCCUUCACUCACUCUGAGCUCCCCAGCCCUCAGCCUCCUCCCCUACUGAUCCUGACCUGAAAUUAGGGCCAGGCAAGCCUCCAUGGCCAGGCCAGCAUAAAAGGAGAUCUGUGUAUGUGUGUUUGCAAGUGUGUGCAUGGCCCUGAAAGAAAGUAGGAGAUUAUCCCAUUCUGUGUGUCCACUCACCAGUGCAGUAUUGACCAUGGUGGGCCACCCAGGGAGUGUCCAGCCAGCCAUGAGAUGGCCUGAUAUACAUGCUUACUGGCCCUGCUAGAUUCCCCCACUCUCACCGGGGAUAAGGCCGAGCCCUACAGGCUGGACUCUUUCUAAAGACACUGGAGUCUAUACACCGAGCGACCAGCCCUCCAUACACAGGAACACACACACAUUUAAGCAUACCCUCUGUACAGUGAAAGACAUUGCCAUCAGGUCGUUUUCUGUGUCCUGUGAGGCGAGGCGGAGGUCAUUGGGAAGGUUGAAAACCUCUUUAAUGGUAGGAAUGAUACCAUAACACCUAUAGAUAGAGUUACGGAUCAUGUCACAUGCAGUUUGUAUACAGUGCACACCCUGACAGUGAGGCCUGUUCACUGCUGGUAUAUGUGAAGGUGAGUGUAAAAAAGCCAGAAUUAUUUGCUUCUCCUUUGUUUUACUGCUUACCCUUAUUAUUUUUUUAUGUUUGAAAUGUCCUUAUAACAUCUUUCUGAUCACUACAAAAUGAUCCAUAGUACAUUCAUUUUUUUCUUGGUUUUGAUGUUAGGCUAUGUUGCCUUAUUUAAACCAAGAAAUAAAGUAAAAGGAACACAUUAAUAUUCAUGAGGUUUGUGUGUGUGUGUGUGUGUGUGUGUGUGUGUGUGUGUGUGUGUGUGUGUGUGUGUGAAUUAACCUCAUAAACAUUCAAAUAAAUGAUUUUGGAUGUAGCCUCAAAGAGUUUAUUAAAAGCCUGUUGGCUGCACAGGUGUGUAACAGCUAAAAGAAGCUUAUUAUUGACCUAAACAAACCCUCAGGGGUCAGCUAAUUGCCUUCUAAUUACUCAGCUGUUUGUUUGUUGAUGGAGAGUCUCUUGACAUACUGCCUGUUAACAACACAGAGGCCUUUAACAUCAGGACAGCGCUGCACAAAUCUCAUUAGCAAUAAAAAUCAAAGAAAAGAUUUUAUAGGGAAGAUUAUAAUUUUUUUUUUUUUACUGAAUUUAAACAAUGAUUAAGUAGUGUGUGUGUGUGUGUGGGGGGGGGUCACAAUAAAGCAAUGGAAAUAAUAUAAUGUCAUUUAUUCUGCUUUAUGAUUUGUUUUUCCUUGACAAGCUAAAUGUGCUGAAAUGAAUAGGCUGCAAUAAAACAACAAACUGUCACUCAAAAUUAUCAUUGUUUAUGUCACUUUAUUUCAGCCACUUCAAAUUAUUUACAGCAGGCUACACAGCUCCAACUGUUUCACUGUAAUAAAUGUUGGCUUGCUGGGGUUUUUCUUUUUCUUUUUUCAGCAUACAUGUGGCAGUUUUUUAUGCACACAAAUCUCUGCUUGGUUAAAUAUGGUCACCAGGCAAAUUUCAUAAACAGCAGAGGAAGCUGGGGUGGUGUGGUUUGUUAAGGGGUAAACAAACUAAGUAUUGUAAGAUUAUAUAAAUUUGUUUACUUAAAUUGCAUAAUACUGGAUUAUAUGUGCCCCCAUGCCUGCUUCAGAUUAAGAGGAUAUUAGAUGAAUAUGGUUUGUCCUAUGUAUGGACAACACAAUAUUGUCAUGGUAUUAAUUGGCUGAAAGCAACGGUGGAGCAGCGGUUGAAAGACUAGUUCCUGUAAAAAUGGCAAAGUGAGUUAAAAACAUGUCAUUUCAUGUUCUAUAUAUACAAAUCAAACAAGAAAUUAAGAUCUAUUAUGUGAAAGCCAUGCAUAUAGACAAGCCAUAUAUAAUUUGAGACUUAAUAAUACUAAAAUUCCCAAGGUGGCUGGGCAAUGAAAAGGUUUGGUUAGAGAUCAGAGGUUUUGUAAUGUGUGUAAUAAUAAUUUAGUGGGUGAUGAAUUUCAUAUUUUCUUUGAAUUUAAAAAUAUAAAUAUUAGGUAUUAUAGAGGAAAGUAUUUGCUGAAGUAUUAUCUGAAAUCCCCUUCUAUAUUUAAAGUAAUGCUAUUGCUACAAGCAGCUAGGCCAAAAAUGAUUAAACAAUUGGAUGCUUUUUGAGGAAUGUAUUACCCUUGUUUGAAUGAAGAUUUUGUGCUGCAUGUCUCGUUUUGAUAAUGUCUUUGACUGUUAUGUUUGUACUCCAUACCAUGCAUUUGUGGUUGUGAGAGAUUAAAUGAUGAUGAUGAUGAUGAUCCAAGCAAGGGGAAUUUAAUUUAUUAUACAGAAAGAGAAGAAGAAGCAAAUCAGCCAAGUGUAUUAAAUUAUUUCACUAUAAUAACAUAAAAUAUUGCCAUGGAUUCAGAUGAGUAAAAAAUAUUGUGCUCAAAUUGCCCUGACAUGAACCAUAAUAGGAAGUCUUAUAUUUUAAUGUUUUUUAUGUUUUAGUUGUUUUAUCUUUUUUCUUACCAGAUUUCAGAAAUUCUGCCAUUUUAUUUAUUUAUUUAUUCCACAGCUGUUGCUAUAGCCUCUUGUGAGAUAUUAAAAUAAAAGUUUGAGACUGUAAUAUACUCCAAAAUACAGUAAGACUGAAUUGUCCAAAUUGGGGUCAUUAAAGAGAAUUUUAAUUGUCCUUCAACGGAGUACAUCAGGGUGGAGUGUAUUCAGGGCCCUCAGGACUGAUGUGUAUUUUAUAUUGAGACCAUUUACCAGGAUACUGCAAGAACACUUCUGAAUAACAAGAGUGCAUUAAACCCACUAUAAUAUUAAGCAUCCAUCUUCAAAAUACAGCUCAGUGUUAACUGUAUCUAUUUAUUUUAUAUUUACAUUAUAAUGAUGCUGACUCACUCUGAAUUCACUAACACAAUAAGCUUGAAUGCCUGAAAACAAACAUUGCAAGUAACAGUAUGGCUGGGGCCACAGCACUUAAACAGAUCAAGGAACAAUGUGCGUGCUGCUCCUGAAUGAGCACAGAUGAUGAGUGGGAGGUACCUUGCCUCCCGGUUUGACCCCCUUGGUGAGGGAUGACUGUGGUUCAUUGGGAAGAGCAGUUGUCUCCCAAUCGGAGGGUUGGAGGUUAGAAAUGUGGUGCCUGUAGUCCACAUGUAGAAGUGUCCUUGGGCAAGACAUUGAAGCCCAAGCUGGUUAGAACUAUCGGUGUGAGUUGGCGCCACAGACGGCUGCCUUGGUUCUGUACCAGAAUAAAAAUCCUUGUGUGCGUAACAUACUUGGCCAAAUAAAGUGAUUGUCCUUAUGAUAAAAGGCAUUCAGCUGUGGCCCACUGAUGUGUCACCCCAGCAUGCACACACAAAGAUGAAAUUUUUAUGUAAACGCUCUAAUUUCAGACCCCAGUGACUGUUCUCACAUGCAUAUAAUGUAAGGCUGACUUUAGAAUGGUAUCCCCAUCAGGUGGAAGAAACCUGCAUAAGUAAAAUCCAUUUGCAGUUAAAAUGUUUCUGCUGAACUUGUUUGAAUUUGUUGAAUUAAAAGACACCUCAUAAAAUUUGUAGACCACAGUGCACACAGAAGAGC